UUGUUUCCUCAUGGUGGAGUUUAACUUGUUUCUGUAUCACCUGCAUUUCCUAUAGACCUGCGUUAGAUCUGAAGGCUUCAGUGGAUCCCAGUUCAAUGCUUUGGGAGCAAGCCAUUCAUUGAUGAUGCUGUGUAGCACCUGUCAUGGCAUCUGGAGCCACGUUAUGUGGCUAUUCAUGAUGCUGAUGGCCAGUCUCUCCAUUUGAUUGCUAUCAGUGGCUGUGGCUGCAGCCAUCAAAGCUUUCUUCAUUCUUGUCUGCUGCGGAAGCUGGAAAGACUCAAAAACAGCUGGGGUCAGGAGAAGCUGCACUCCCUGGGUGCCUCUUCUCUCUGCCCCUCACUCUGUGGCCUCCUGGUGGCCUCCUGGUCACUGGGCCUCUUACGUGGCAGCUGAUGGCUACUGCAGUGAUUGUCCCUAGGAGAACUUGCAGACACUGAAAAUCCUUUCCAAUGCAGCUUUGGACCUGGUGCAGCGUACUUGGACUGUACAAUGACCUCUCCCUCUGGGAGACUGCUUUGCCUGGUUAAGGAGCACAUCAUGGAUUCUUCUCAUCCUGGGGUUACAUGGUUCCCUGUGCUUUUAAUUUAUACCAGGAAGUAGCUUGGACAACUGGUAGAAGUCACUGAGUCUCUAAAUUUUUGAUUUGGUGAUAAGGGCAUACCUGCCUAAAUAAUUUUUGAAUAGUAGUUGGGUUAUGCACUCAGGAUUUGUUAAAUCAUCCAAUCUUAUAACUAACACUUAUUAUUAUUUUUAUGUGUCACACCUGGGCUAAUUGCUUCACAUGCAUCAUCCCAUAUCACCAUUUCUCAUUUAUAGAAGACACUGAGAUUCCCAGGUGGCAUAUCUCAGGUUACAGAGCUGCUAAGUAGUACAGUUGAGAUUUGAACACAGGCGAUGUGACACUAAGUCCCAGGCUCUUGAAACUACAGUAGAGUUACAUUGCCACUGCUCUGUUGGCAAGGAGUCAGCUUCCCUGCCACCAAGCUGGCCCCUAGGCAAUUAGGCUUAGCAAACAAAGACUUGUUAAUCAUGACAAUUAACCACAUAUUUCUAAUAGGAACAGACUGGGCAUUCAGAUAUCUCUUUGUUUAUUUUCCUUCAUUUCAUUUUUGGAGUGACACCAUUGAAAGAUACUUGGAACUAUUGAAUGAAAGUACUUGGAACCUAAGCUUAGCUUUUAGGAAAAAAUAAAAUCAGGGUAUUUCCUUUCAUCGUUAUGAUUCCAGGCCCUUUGGUCUGGAGUUUCCCUAUGCAUUCAUUACUCAGAACAGUUGCUUUGAGUUCGUCAGCACAUUAAAAUGCAAUUUUAAGAAAAUACAGCAUUUCUCUUCCACCACAAACUAGAUUUAUUUUGGUUUGCUGUCAAUGUAAAACAAAUUUCCCUUCAACAGGGUAAUAUAAUAAAGCCUCAGAACUAGGAGGAAGGAUGUAGUAAGUAAGACGUAGUCAGCACUCUAAUUCUUUCUUUCUGAUUAAUAUUUUUAAAUUAUCUUUGGCUGAAACAAGAAAGAUAAAUCAUUAAUAUGACCCAAGUCUAAACAAAAGCUUAUUGCUUUACAGUAUAUUCAUUUAUUUUUAAUGCUCGUGUCAGUUUUUAAAGGAUGACUUUAUAACAGUAUUUAACUACUUAAAACAUUAACUACCAGUCUGCUGGUCCAUCAUCUUAACUUAAAUGCUGAACUAAACUAGAAUUGCUCAUUGCCUCCUCUCCCCUGUAAUGAAAUUUGUUAAUGAUGGUGUAUUUAUGCUUAUAUGGAAGAGGUCAUCUUCUUUUGUAUGUUCUUUCUUUAAUUAACUCAGUAUCCUUGAGAAAGAAUUUCAGCCUAAAUGUCUUACUGAUGGAUUUAUUAUUUUCCUCUUAACGUAAUAAUGUCACUUGUAUUUAGAGAAUCAAGCCAUUACACCAGCUUUGCUUCAACUCUGAAGCUGUCUUUGUAAAUCAUGCAUUCAAGAGGAUCUUGGGAACAUAUUCUGUGAUUCAGGCUUGUAACUUAAUUAUGCUUGGGAAUGAGCAAGAUUAGGGAACAAAAACAGGAAUUCUGGCAACAAAGGAAAGAACUGGCCUCCUUGCCCAUUUGCUGAGCUACUUCCUCUCCUCUGCAUUGGACCCCAACAUGUCACCAGGACAAGAGGCAAGAAACAUGGGUGGAUUGCCUGCAAUUGGGAGUCUGAGUAUUUAGACUUUUAAUGUAGA